GGGUGUGAUCCUACCAGCACUAAUGCAUCCGAUCCCAUCAGAACCCUGCAGUUAAGCGUGCUUGGUUUUAGUUAUAUUUU
rnacentral:rRNA from 1 species